rnacentral:rRNA from 1 species
GUGAAGCGGCAAAAGCUCAAAUUUGAAAUCUGGCUCUUUCAGAGUCCGAGUUGUAAUUUGAAGAAGGUAUCUUUGGGUCUGGCUCUUGUCUAUGUUUCUUGGAACAGAACGUCACAGAGGGUGAGAAUCCCGUGCGAUGAGAUGAUCCAGGCCUAUGUAAAGUUCCUUCGAAGAGUCGAGUUGUUUGGGAAUGCAGCUCUAAGUGGGUGGUAAAUUCCAUCUAAAGCUAAAUAUUGGCGAGAGACCGAUAGCGAACAAGUACAGUGAUGGAAAGAUGAAAAGAACUUUGAAAAGAGAGUGAAAAAGUACGUGAAAUUGUUGAAAGGGAAGGGCUUGAGAUCAGACUUGGUAUUUUGUAUGUUACUUCUUCGGGGGUGGCCUCUACAGUUUAUCGGGCCAGCAUCAGUUUGGGCGGUAGGAGAAUUGCGUUGGAAUGUGGCACGGCUUCGGUUGUGUGUUAUAGCCUUCGUCGAUACUGCCAGCCUAGACUGAGGACUGCGGUUUAUACCUAGGAUGUUGGCAUAAUGAUCUUAAGUCGCCCGUCUU